CCUACGGGUGGCAGCAGUGAGGAAUAUUGCACAAUGGGCGAGACCCUGAAGCAGCGACGCCGCGUGAAGGAAGACGGAACUAGUGGUGGUAGACUCCAUUAGCAGGGGAGAAAAUGACGGUACGUGAGGGAGAAGCGACGGGUAACCACGUGACAGCAUCGGCGGGAAUACGGGGGGCGCAAGCGGUAACCGGAUUUACGGGGUGUAAAGGGGGAGUAGACGGGAGUGCAAGGCUGGAGUGAAAGGUGGGGGCUCAACCCCCGGACUGCUGGGGAAAAUGUACGGCUGGAGUGCAGGAGAGGUAAGUGGAAUGCGUGGUGUAGCGGUGAAAUGCGUAGAUAUCACGAGGAACUCCAGUGGCGAAGGCAGCUUACUGGACUGUAACUGACGUUGAGGCUCGAAAGCGUGGGUAGCAAACAGGAUUAGAUACCCCUGUAGUC
rnacentral:rRNA from 1 species